rnacentral:miRNA from 1 species
UUGGGGCUGGGGAGAGGCGGG